CUCCCAGCUCCCAGGGGAAUCCAGGGCUUGUUGGACCAGCGGCUCUUCAAGGCUCAGAGGAGCCGAGACCGCUGUUCGCAUCCGCCGCGCUUUUCCCCUGGAGUAUGAAUCUACUUCCAAGAUUCACGCCUUAGUGAACAUUAAGAGGGAAAGCCCGAGGUCGCGAUGGAUCUUGACGGCCGCAAUGGAAGAGCAGGGGGGAAGAACUUCUUGAAAAGGGACAAAAAAAGGCAAUUGCGGAGGUUCGCUGGCUUGAGUUGAGCCCAGCAUUUGCACGGUGAGCUUCUUCCUCAGCUUUCUGGUCCCACACAGACCAAGGCUCAUUU
rnacentral:lncRNA from 1 species